GAACUGUAGGGGUGACACAGUCAUGUUCCUAAGCUAGCAAAACCGCACUGGUCUGCAGGACAGCAGGAAUAAUGCCAUGAGAUGCACAGGACAGGCAGCAGAUGCUACCGAUCUGAGCUGAAGUGGUGGCAGAAGAUAGAAGUGGACACAUUGCAGUGGUGUCAGGAAGAGAGAGUCCCCGGGACAUGGAACGGACCCAAUAGGUCAAGCAGAAUCGAGACAGGGAUGUGGGCUCUGGAACCAAGAUGGAUGGUGGUUCCAUCCACAGAAAUCAGAGAACACGGUGGGAGUAGGGGGCUGUGCAGGAAGGGAACCUGGAGACAUUGAAGUGGAGAAGUGCAGUAGGACUAGCGCUCCAAGGAAGAUCCUGGGGCGGAGAUAGGUGUUGAGGUAGCCACAAUACAGAAGUGUGAGAAGAGGA
rnacentral:lncRNA from 1 species